AGAAGCUGUGGUGUAACUUUUAUACUUCAGUAUGAAUAUUUUAUUUUAUGCAAACCUGCGUAAAUACUGAGGAUUAUUCCAAGUCUAAACAAGGGGGGGUGAUGGAAGCACAGUGGUUGGAGACUAAACAAGAAAUGAAGAUUGGAGGCUGUUCACAAUCUGGGAUCCCCCCGGGUGAUGACAGUGCUCUCUUCCCCAGCCUCACUGAUGACCUCCUGAUGACCUCCCUUAUUUCCCUCGGAAAAGCUCACUGACACCGUCAGAGGGGUCAGAAGUGAUCGUGCACGUGUUCCGACCCACGGGUCUACGGCCAGCCUGGGUCUCCUACUCUGUUUUCCCUGCUGGGAUGGAUGAACCUGUGCGCUCAAUCCCACGCCUCUGAUCACGUUAAGUGUGACGUUCUGCCGCAUCAUUAAUCAGUCCCUCUCUAUGGAGCCACUCCCGUUAGCACACAAACAUACUAUGUUCACC